rnacentral:tRNA from 1 species
UCCCUACUGGCUCAGUCGGUAAAGAAUCUGCCUGCAAUGCAGAAGACCCAGUUUCGAUCCUUGGGUCGGGAA